rnacentral:rRNA from 1 species
CCUACGGGGGGCAGCAGUAGGGAAUAUUGCUCAAUGGGGGAAACCCUGAAGCAGCAACGCCGCGUGGAGGAUGAAGGUUUUCGGAUUGUAAACUCCUUUUGUUAGAGAAGAUAAUGACGGUAUCUAACGAAUAAGCACCGGCUAACUCCGUGCCAGCAGCCGCGGUAAUACGGAGGGUGCAAGCGUUACUCGGAAUCACUGGGCGUAAAGAGCGCGUAGGCGGGAGAGCAAGUCAGAUGUGAAAUCCUAGGGCUUAACCAUAGAACUGCAUUUGAAACUGUUAUUCUAGAGUAUGGUAGAGGGAGGUGGAAUUCUUGGUGUAGGGGUAAAAUCCGUAGAGAUCAAGAGGAAUACUCAUUGCGAAGGCGACCUGCUAGAACAUAACUGACGCUGAUGCGCGAAAGCGUGGGGAGCAAACAGGAUUAGAUACCCUUGUAGUC